rnacentral:lncRNA from 1 species
AGACAUGUUGCCGCUGAGAAUGCGGCGGGGCGGCCGUGAUUCCUGGGCCCUGAGUAACCGACGGCCGGACUUGCUUGACGUCCGCCGUUACUGCCCCGGCGCUUCAGCCGCUGCGCGGGCCGCGGCCGAGUCCUGUCUUGCGGGCUAACGCGCGCGAGUCCGGUAUCUGGGCCGACGGCGAACGGGCGACGCCCGAGGAAUUCUGUUUGUUCACAUUUGUGAGACACGUUUGCAGCGCAAAGGCAGAAAAACUUCAGUGACAUCCGAGUUUGCGCAACCUAAGGCCUUCGUCCUUGUCGUUCCAGCGUUUAUUCUCCUCCCAUCCAUUUAGAACAUUUGUGGUUUUUUUUUUUGUUUUUUUUUUUUGGAGACGGAGUCUCGCUCCGUCGCCCAGGCUGGAGUGCAAUGGCGCGAUCUCGGCUCACUGCAGCCUCCGCGUCCCAGGUUCAAGCAAUUCUGCCUCAGCCUCCCGAGUAGCUGGGAUUACAGGCGCCCGCCGCCACACCCUGCUAAUUUUUGGUAUUUUAGUAGACGGAGUUACUGUUGGCCUCUGUCGCUUUCCCUUGGCCCAGGAUUAGGUGACUUCUCUAAGGUCAGGGGUACCCGACUGAAAAUGUCACACUCUGACCUGCUGUGCCUACUGCCUUCCUUCACAAAGAAAAGCAUCAACAAAAAGCCAUCUCUUCUCUAGUAUAAGUCUGUGAAGGCACCAUCCAUCUUACUGCUACCUGGAAACCUUUAAAUCCCAAUAACCCUCUUUCUUCCCUACCCUCACCCAAUCACCACGCUUCCUCCUGGUAAAACUUAUUAUUAUUUUUUUUUUUUGAGACGGAGUCUCCCUCUGUUGCCCAGGCUGGAGUUCAGUGGUGCGAUCUCUGUUCACUGCAAGUUCUGCCUCCCGGGUUCACGCCAUUCUCCUGCCUCUGCCUCCCAAGUAGCUGGGACUACAGGCGCCCACCAUCACGCCCAGCUGAUUUUUUGUAUUUUUAGUACAGACGGGGUUUCACUGUGUUAGCCAGGAUGGUCUCGAUCUCCUGACCUCGCGAUCCGCCCGCCUGGGCCUCCCAAAGUGCUGGGAUUACAGGCGUGAGCCACCGUGCCUGGCCAACGUAAUCCACAUUUUAAGAAUUUCACAGUUCCAGCACUUUGGGAGGCUGAGGUGGGCGGAUCAGCCGAGGUCAAGAGUUUGAGAUCACCCUGGCUAAGAUGGUGAAACCCUGUCUCUACUAAAAAUACAAAAAAGCUGGGCGUGGUGGCGCAUGCCUGUAAUCCUAGCUACUUAGGAGGCUGAGUCACCAGAAUUGCUUGAACUGGGGAGGCAGAGGUUGCAGUGAGCCAAGAUCACAUUACUGCACUCUAGCCUGGGCAACAGAGCAAGACUCAGUCUCAAAAAGAAAAAAAAGUAUUUCACAGGCCAGGCACGGUGGCUCAUGCCUGUAAAUCCCAGCACUUUGGGAGGCCGAGGCGGGUGGAUCACCUGAGGUCAGGAGUUGGAGACCGGCCUAGCCAACAUGGCAAAAUCCCGCCUCUACUAAAAAUACAAAAAUUAGCCAUGUGUGGUUGUGUACACCUGUAAUCCUAGCUACUCCAGAGAGUAGGACAGGGGAAUCACUUGAACCCAGGAGGCAGAGGUUACAGUGAGUCGAGACUGCACCACUGCACUCCAGCCUGGGUGACAGAGUUAAG